GGCGCAAGCCUGACGGAGCAAGACCGCGUGGGGGAGGAAAGCCUUUGGGUUGUAAACCCCUUUUCUCAGGGAAGAAGAAAGUGACGGUACCUGAGGAAUCAGCCUCGGCUAACUCCGUGCCAGCAGCCGCGGUAAUACGGAGGAGGCAAGCGUUAUCCGGAAUGAUUGGGCGUAAAGCGUUCGUAGGUGGCAAUUCAAGUCUGCUGUCAAAGACAGUAGCUCAACUACUGCAAGGCAGUGGAAACUGAAUAGCUAGAGUGCGGUAGGGGCAGAGGGAAUUCCCGGUGUAGCGGUGAAAUGCGUAGAGAUCGGGAAGAACACCGGUGGCGAAAGCGCUCUGCUGGGCCGCAACUGACACUGAGGGACGAAAGCUAGGGGAGCGAAUGGGAUUAGAUACCCCAGUAGUC
rnacentral:rRNA from 1 species